GACUUCGUAGCUCAGCUGGUAGAGCAGUUGACUCUUAAUCAACGGGUCCGGAGUUCGAUCCUCCGCGGGGUCACCA
rnacentral:tRNA from 1 species